CCUACGGGUGGCAGCAGUGGGGAAUAUUGCACAACGGGGGAAACCCUGAUGCAGCGACGCCGCGUGAGUGAAGAAGUAUUUCGGUAUGUAAAGCUCUAUCAGCAGGGAAGAAAAUGACGGUACCUGAUUAAGAAGCCCCGGCUAACUACGUGCAAGCAGCCGCGGGAAUACGUAGGGGGCAAGCUUUAUCCGGAGUUACUGGGUGUAAAGGGAGCGUAGACGGCAGCACAAGUCUGGAGUGAAAUGCCGGGGCUUAACCCCGGAACUGCUUUGGAAACUGUGCAGCUAGAGUGCAGGAGAGGUAAGUGGAAUUCCUAGUGUAGCGGUGAAAUGCGUAGAUAUUAGGAGGAACACCAGUGGCGAAGGCGGCUUACUGGACUGUAACUGACGUUGAGGCUCGAAAGCGUGGGGAGCAAACAGGAUUAGAUACCCGGGUAGUC
rnacentral:rRNA from 1 species